rnacentral:rRNA from 1 species
CAGUAGCCGCGGUAAUACAGAGGGUGCGAGCGUUAAUCGGAUUUACUGGGCGUAAAGCGUGCGUAGGCGGCUUCUUAAGUCGGAUGUGAAAUCACUGAGCUUAACUUAGGAAUUGCAUUCGAUACUGGGAAGCUAGAGUAUGGGAGAGGAUGGUAGAAUUCCAGGUGUAGCGGUGAAAUGCGUAGAGAUCUGGAGGAAUACCGAUGGCGAAGGCAGCCAUCUGGCCUAAUACUGACGCUGAGGUACGAAAGCAUGGGGAGCAAACAGGAUUAGAUACCCCUGUAGUCCCUGUCUCUUAUAC